GUAUCUCGAACGCUCCACUCCUCCUCCCAGGAUCGUUCGAAGGAAUGGCGGCAUCCUCCUCCCAGCCGCCGUUCGGUUCUUAUCGGAAAGCCUGCCGCACCUCCUCCCGCGGCAGGCUUUUUCG
rnacentral:sRNA from 1 species